UGCACAAUGGGCGAAAGCCUGAUGCAGCAACGCCGCGUGAGUGAUGAAGGCCUUCGGGUUGUAAAGCUCUGUCUUCUGGGACGAUAAUGACGGUACCAGAGGAGGAAGCCACGGCUAACUAAGUGCCAGCAGCCGCGGUAAUACGUAGGUGGCAAGCGUUGCCCGGAUUUACUGGGCGUAAAGGAUGCGUAGGCGGAUACUUAAGUCAGAUGUGAAAAUCCCGGGCUUAACUUGGGAACUGCAUAUGAAACUGGGGAACUAGAGUGCGGGAGAGGAAAGUGGAAUUCCUAGUGUAUCGGUGAAAUGCGUAGAGAUUAGGAAGAACACCAGUGGCGAAGGCGACUUUCUGGACCGUAACUGACGCUGAGGCAUGAAAGCGUUGGGAGCAAACA
rnacentral:rRNA from 1 species